rnacentral:rRNA from 1 species
CCUACGGGUGGCAGCAGUAGGGAAUUUUGCGCAAUGGGCGAAAGCCUGACGCAGCAACACCGCGUGAAUGUUAAGCCCUUCGGGGUGUAAAGUUCUGUCAAUAGGGACGAAUUUUGACUGUACCUAUAAAGGAAGCACCGGCUAACUCCGUGCCAGCAGCCGCGGUAAUACGGGGGGUGCAAGCGUUGUCCGGAAUCAUUGGGCGUAAAGCGUUCGUAGGCGGCAAGGUAAGUCUGAUGUUAAAGCCCGGGGCUCAACUCCGGUUCGGCAUUGGAUACUAUCUAGCUAGAAUGUGGUAGAGGGAAAGGGAAUUCCCGGGGUAGCGGUUGAAUGCGUAGAUAUCAGGAGGGACAUCGGUGGCGGAAGCGCUUUACUGGACCAUUAUUGGCGCUGGGGAACGAAAGCCAAGGGGGCAAAUGGGAAUAGAUACCCUUGUAGUC